rnacentral:rRNA from 1 species
GAUGAACGCUAGCUACAGGCUUAACACAUGCAAGUCGAGGGGAAACGACAUCGAAAGCUUGCUUUUGAUGGGCGUCGACCGGCGCACGGGUGAGUAACGCGUAUCCAACCUGCCCAUCACUUGGGAAUAACCUUGCGAAAGUAAGACUAAUACCCAAUGACAUCCCACGAAGACAUCUGAAUGGGAUUAAAGAUUUAUCGGUGAUGGAUGGGGAUGCGUCUGAUUAGCUUGUUGGCGGGGUAACGGCCCACCAAGGCAACGAUCAGUAGGGGUUCUGAGAGGAAGGUCCCCCACAUUGGAACUGAGACACGGUCCAAACUCCUACGGGAGGCAGCAGUGAGGAAUAUUGGUAAAUGGGCGAGAGCCUGAACCAGCCAAGUAGCGUGCAGGAUGACGGCCCUAUGGGUUGUAAACUGCUUUUAUAAGGGAAUAAAGUGGGUCUCGUGAGACUUUUUGCAUGUACCUUAUGAAUAAGGACCGGCUAAUUCCGUG